CUACGGGAGGCAGCAGUGGGGAAUAUUGCGCAAUGGGGGAAACCCUGACGCAGCGACGCCGCGUGCGGGAUGAAGGCCUUCGGGUUGUAAACCGCUUUCAGCAGGGACGAAGCGGAAGUGACGGUACCUGCAGAAGAAGCGCCGGCUAACUACGUGCCAGCAGCCGCGGUAACACGUAGGGCGCGAGCGUUGUCCGGAAUUAUUGGGCGUAAAGAGCUCGUAGGCGGCCUGUUGCGUCCGCUGUGAAAGCCCGGGGCUUAACCCCGGGUCUGCAGUGGAUACGGGCAGGCUAGAGGUGGGCAGGGGAGAAUGGAAUUCCCGGUGUAGCGGUGAAAUGCGCAGAUAUCGGGAGGAACACCGGUGGCGAAGGCGGUUCUCUGGGCCUUACCUGACGCUGAGGAGCGAAAGCGUGGGGAGCGAACAGGAUUAGAUACCCUGGUAGU
rnacentral:rRNA from 1 species